rnacentral:rRNA from 1 species
UACGGAGGAUGCGAGCGUUAUCCGGAUUUAUUGGGUUUAAAGGGUGCGUAGGCGACUUUUUAAGUCAGCGGUGAAAUUUUGCAGCUUAACUGUAACAGUGCCGUUGAUACUGGGGAGCUAGGAUUUGGUUGCUGUGGGUGGAAUGUGUGGUGUAGCGGUGAAAUGCUUAGAGAUCACACAGAAUAUCGAUUGCGAAGGCAGCUCACAAAGCCGUUAUUGACGCUGAGGCACGAAAGUGUGGGGAUCAAACAGGAUUA